GACGAACCGUGCGAACGUUGUUCGGAAUCACUGGGCUUAAAGGGCGCGUAGGCGGGUCACCAAGUCCGGGGUGAAAUCCCCCAGCUCAACUGGGGAAGUGCCUUAGAUACUGGUGGUCUUGAGGAGGGUAGGGGCAUCUGGAACGCUGGGUGGAGCGGUGAAAUGCGUUGAUAUCCAGCGGAACUCCGGUGGCGAAGGCGAGGUGCUGGACCAUUUCUGACGCUGAGGCGCGAAAGCCAGGGGAGCGAACGGG
rnacentral:rRNA from 1 species